rnacentral:rRNA from 1 species
CACGUAGGGUGCGAGCGUUGUCCGGAUUUAUUGGGCGUAAAGAGCUCGUAGGCGGUUUGUCGCGUCUGCUGUGAAAACCCGAGGCUCAACCUCGGGCCUGCAGUGGGUACGGGCAGACUAGAGUGCGGUAGGGGAGAUUGGAAUUCCUGGUGUAGCGGUGGAAUGCGCAGAUAUCAGGAGGAACACCGAUGGCGAAGGCAGAUCUCUGGGCCGUAACUGACGCUGAGGAGCGAAAGCGUGGGGAGCGAACAGG